rnacentral:lncRNA from 1 species
GUAAUGAAAUCCUUCAGUGCGGACUGUGGAUACAUCGUCAGAGCACAGAGAGAGUGAAAUGUAGCGUAAACACACCCGUGUAGCCUGCAACGAUCAACUAGGCACCGCUUCAAAGGUAACAAAGACCUUACCAAGACACCCGAAAGGAGGAACGGAUCUAUGAAAGCUGAUUGCCACUGCUUUUUUUAAUCGCAGCCAAGUUUGGCAAGACCGUUUCACAAAGGUGGCCGUAAGAUCACUGCACGCCGACCGUGCGAUAAGUCCUUUUUACAAACCCUGACUUCCCCAUUGAUUCCCCCCUUUAUGGAAUAUUCCAUCAGAAGUUUCAAAUGUGCGCAGCCCUUCACGGUUCCCCGCAAUGUGUCUGCAUUACAGCUGUGGACAGAUGGCUUAGGAGCCACUGGAACAGCCAGUUCGGUUCGUAUUUAAGUCCAAAGUUCUUUACAAAACGCCCCCUGUAUUCCAGCAGGUACCACGGUCUGCCAGAUAUCCCAAGCCAGCAAAGAGCGGGUUGCCAGGAGUCACCGGAGUGGGCUGGAGCUGCUCUUCUGGGCGUCUCGUACCCGUGGUGGAAAAAUCCAGGGCUCGGAAUCAGGCUCAGAGUUGCUGCUGUGUCCUCGCCCAUCACCACGUGUUGCAUUACCGUGCCACGUAAUAAACAUUUGCGGAAGGUCAUACGGCUCCCCAGAUGCUCUGCGUGGGCUCGGUUCACCCGCCCCUGCCUCCGGAAGCUCCCGGGUAUUUCUGGACCUGACCUCACACGCAGAGGCCUUGGUUCCAGAAGCCUCCUUGUCGGCACCAUUCACGGGACACCCGACAUUACACUACGUUUUGCUCUUUCAUUUAUCUUUGCCUUACUUCUCCUAGAGAAGUAAGAUCCUAGAGGGUACGACCUGUGUGUCAUACUUUCUUUACCCCUUGAAACACCACACACGCCUUCAUACAACGUCGGUGCUUUGCACUAUUGCAAAGGCCUCGGUGGUUUGUAUUUCAGCUGCUUAGAUGUGCGUAAUAACCACACACAGGGCCUUAAAAGGAUAUAAAAUAUUCCAGCUGAGAGAUGCACAAUAGAUGACAUUAUUUCAUUCUUAAAAUGCAAAAAUGUAAAAUGAGGGAUCACCAAAUGCUAGAGAGUGUUUUUAGCAAAAGUCUCAGGAGAGAGUUUCUGCUUCUUAACCCCGGACACACAAAUAAACACACAAAUGGUGCUACGGAGAUCGUCA